rnacentral:rRNA from 1 species
GUCCACGCUGUAAACGAUGAUUACUCGGUGCUGGCGAUAUACUGUCAGUGCCUAAGCGAAAGUGAUAAGUAAUCCACCUGGGGAGUACGAUCGCAAGGUUGAAACUCAAAGGAAUUGACGGGGGCCCGCACAAGCGGUGGAGCAUGUGGUUUAAUUCGAUGAUACGCGAGGAACCUUACCUGGGCUUAAAUGCAUAAUGACAGACUGGGAAACCAGUUGUUCUUCGGACAGAAUGCAAGGUGC